CGUCUUCCAGAAGAAAAAAAAACAGAAGUCUACAGCUCACUUCUCCUGGUUCCUCUCGGUCAUCUGUGCUCUGCUGGGCAGGACUCCUGUGGUUCCCAGCACCAUCAGCUGUGGCAGGGGGGUUCCCCA